UGGUCCGUUGGUCCAGUUGGUUUAAGACGCCUGCCUGUCACGCAGGAGGUCGCGGGUUCGAGUCUCGCACGGACCGUC
rnacentral:tRNA from 1 species